GCACAGGACACUGGGCGGCCCUUCCCCAUCCAGCCCCAUUUGGCUACAACAGGAAUUGUGCACGGGACCCACUUUGUCUGAUUUUGUCCAUGGCAUUUGCAAAAUUUGGCAUGAGGAGAAUCCUGUUUAUUUAAGGUCCUGCUAAAUGUCAGCAUAUACUCUGAGAAUCAGGCUGUGCUGCACAGUUGCAUUCAAGCGUGCCAGAAGAAAGAUCUGUUGGUAGCUGGACCCUGAUCAGCUGGAUGGGUUUUGCCUUUGCAUUCUGAAGCCUACACUGACUUCAGAGCAGAAUUGAAGACAAAGGACCUGAUUAUCUUAGAACAGUAAGUCUGCUGUUUGUAGUGCACCUUUCAAAGAUGUCUCCAGAUGAACUAAAACCAUAAGAUGAGAUUCACUGCACUAGCACAACACUAUAGAACAAACAAUUCAUUGCAGAGGACUGCAGAAAGGCCUUCAUUUUUGCUCAUUUACAAAGGGGAGGCAUGGCCACAGUAGGCUGACCAUUGGUUAGGCCAUAUUUAAAAGGCUUUUAACAGGUAACUGAUGAUCAGCUAUAGGAGCUCAAGUAGGACUGCUACAGCAUUACUGCAUUUACAGCAGCUCAUUUUGCACCUAAGAUCAAUUACCUCGUCUGGGCAGGGGGGGCAAUGCUGAAAUGUAUAGUUUGGUUUUGCAUGAAACAGAACUUCCAAUGGUUUUAGGGAAAUGUUACAGAAAUGAUAUUUUUAUAUCAGUUUAUAGGAUUGGCAUUUUCAAAUGUUUUGUAAAAAGAAAAAGUGUACAGAAUAUUUGAGAGGGUUUUUCCAGUUACAUUUGAGGGACUCCAGUGUACUAAUAGUGUUACUGUUUUCUUCAUGUUUCGGUAUUUUUAACUAAGCAUGUGUAUCCUGCAUUAAGAUAAAAGUCUUAAUAUAAUUUGUGCAACUUUU